rnacentral:sRNA from 1 species
CUCUCAGCUCCGCCCCUCUCCCUGAUAGGCCCCGCCUCCUCCAUGGGGUCCUGUUAGUCAAGAUGCGCUGAGAGCGCACGGCCGCAAAACAAAAAUGGUCGCCGAUUGCCCGCCCCCUGGCUUCCACGCCAGAGCUGCAGAUUCGUCUUGGGUUAUAUCUUGGACCCCCUGCCAAAUAACCGGAUUAAUAUAGAGUUCACCGCGGACUAGACCGAGAGCCACAGGACCAAGCAGCCUUCGUUGGAAAUAUAUGAAACUGUAGAAAAAUAAGUCUACUCUUAUAAGUCGAUAUUUCGAGUCUUAGGGAUGGAAAACUAACACACUUUAUUAUAUUGUAAAUUGGUUCCAAUACUUGCCUGAGCCAGUGUUCUACUUGAAGGGUGGGGAUGUUGCUGAGCCGAGAGUAAUUGUCCAGCACACAGUGAGUUCAGUCUUCAUCACCUCCUGAAACCGAACAAGAUGGCACAGACCUACCUGUAAAGCCCUCGGUCAGAUAGACAUUCAAGGUCAUCCCUGACUACAUAGGGAGUUUGAGGACAGUUUGGACUGAGUCAGCAGCAAAACCAAGUGAAGACAUAGUCCUCAAGCAACCAACCACAUCACUAUCUGCUUCCUGGAAGUCUCCCAAUGUAAAAUUCUACUUAUCUAAGGGAAGAGAACAGCAUAACACAGAAGAGAAGGAUUUCAAAAGUCA